CCUACGGGAGGCAGCAGUGAGGAAUCUUCCACAAUGGGGGCAACCCUGAUGGAGCAACGCCGCGUGCAGGGUGAAGGCCUUAGGGUCGUAAACUGCUUUUAUUAGUGAGGAAUAUGACGGUAACUAAUGAAUAAGGGUCUGCUAACUACGUGCCAGCAGCCGCGGUAAU
rnacentral:rRNA from 1 species